UUCGCAAUGCCCGAAAGGGUGACGAAGCGACGCCGCGUGUGGGAAGAAGGCCUUCGGGUUGUAAACCACUGUCGGGAGUUAAGAAAUGCAAGGAUAUUAAUAGUGUCUUUGUUUGACUAAGGCUCCGGAGGAAGCCACGGCUAACUCUGUGCCAGCAGCCGCGGUAAUACAGAGGCGGCAAGCGUUGUUCGGAAUUAUUGGGCGUAAAGAGCACGUAGGCGGCUAUGUAAGUCGGUUGUGAAAGCCUUCCGCUCAACGGGAGAACGGCAUCCGAUACUGCAUGGCUUGAGUGCGGGAGGGGAGAGUGGAACUUCUGGUGGAGCGGUGAAAUGCGUAGAUAUCAGAAGGAACGCCGGCGGCGAAAGCGGCUCUCUGGCCCAUAACUGACGCUGAGUGUGCGAAAGCUAGGGGAGCAAACGGGAUUAGAUACCCCGGUAGUCCUAGCCGUAAACGAUGGGCACUAAGUAGAGGGGUUUU
rnacentral:rRNA from 1 species